rnacentral:rRNA from 1 species
UACAGAGGGUGCGAGCGUUGUUCGGAGUUACUGGGCGUAAAGGGUGCGUAGGCGGUUGUUUAAGUUUGGUGUGAAAUCUCCCGGCUCAACCGGGAGGGUGCGCCGAAUACUGAAUGACUAGAGUGCGGGAGAGGAAAGUGGAAUUCCUGGUGUAGCGGUGAAAUGCGUAGAUAUCAGGAGGAACACCGGUGGUGUAGACGGCUUUCUGGACCGUAACUGACGCUGAGGCACGAAAGCGUGGGUAGCAAACAGG